GUCACUUUUGCAAUCUAUCAUGGAACGUUAAAGAAGGCAGUGUGUCUUGUUUGUAUUAACAUGAAGCCCCCCCCCCCCACCCCAUGAGACCAAAUAGCCACAAAGAAGGAAAACGUGGGAGCUUCCAAAUCACCUUCUCCUCUUGUCCUCUGACCCAGGGAAGCCAACACUCUUCACAGGUUGAGCAUCUGACUUCAGCUCAGGUCAUGAUCUCUCCAUUCCUGAGUUCCAGCCCUGCUUUGAACUCACUGCUGCUGUCAGUCCAGGGCCAACUUGGGAUCCUCUGUCUCCCUCUCUCUCUGUUCCUUCCCCACUCUCAAAAAUAAAUAAACCUUUAAAAAAUCAUUUUCUCUAAAUUAUUUUGAAAAUAACAAUCACAACUUGUAACUGGACAAAUUGUUUUUCUUCCGUAAGUAAUUUAUUGACAUUUUGAAAUGUUACAUUUUAACAUGUGGCAAAAGUUAUU